rnacentral:rRNA from 1 species
GAGACAGCAGUCGCCGCGGUAAUACGGAGGGUGCAAGCGUUAAUCGGAAUUACUGGGCGUAAAGCGCACGCAGGCGGUCUGACAAGUCAGAUGUGAAAUCCCCGGGCUUAACCUGGGAACUGCAUUUGAAACUGUCAGGCUGGAGUCUUGAAGAGGGGGGUAGAAUUCCAGGUGUAGCGGUGAAAUGCGUAGAGAUCUGGAGGAAUACCGGUGGCGAAGGCGGCCCCCUGGACAAAGACUGACGCUCAGGUGCGAAAGCGUGGGGAGCAAACAGGAUUAGAUACCCGAGUAGUCCCUGUCUCUUAUAC